GAUGAACGCUGGCGGCGUGCCUAAUACAUGCAAGCCGAGCGAACGGACGAGAAGCUUGCUUUUCUGAUGUUAGCGGCGGACGGGUGAGUAACACGUGGAUAACCUACCUAUAAGACUGGGGUAACUUCGGGAAACCGGAGCUAAUACCGGAUAAUAUUUUGAACCGCAUGGUUCAAAAGUGAAAGACGGUCUUGCUGUCACUUAUAGAUGGAUCCGCGCUGCAUUAGCUAGUUGGUAAGGUAACGGCUUACCAAGGCAACGAUGCAUAGCCGACCUGAGAGGGUGAUCGGCCACACUGGAACUGAGACACGGUCCAGACUCCUACGGGAGGCAGCAGUAGGGAAUCUUCCGCAAUGGGCGAAAGCCUGACGGAGCAACGCCGCGUGAGUGAUGAAGGUCUUCGGAUCGUAAAACUCUGUUAUUAGGGAAGAACAUAUGUGUAAGUAACUGUGCACAUCUUGACGGUACCUAAUCAGAAAGCCACGGCUAACUACGUG
rnacentral:rRNA from 1 species